rnacentral:rRNA from 1 species
UGGGGAAUUUUGGACAAUGGGCGAAAGCCUGAUCCAGCAAUGCCGCGUGUGUGAAGAAGGCCUUCGGGUUGUAAAGCACUUUUGUCCGGAAAGAAAUCCUUGGCUCUAAUACAGUCGGGGGAUGACGGUACCGGAAGAAUAAGCACCGGCUAACUACGUGCCAGCAGCCGCGGUAAUACGUAGGGUGCAAGCGUUAAUCGGAAUUACUGGGCGUAAAGCGUGCGCAGGCGGUUUGCUAAGACCGAUGUGAAAUCCCCGGGCUCAACCUGGGAACUGCAUUGGUGACUGGCAGGCUAGAGUAUGGCAGAGGGGGGUAGAAUUCCACGUGUAGCAGUGAAAUGCGUAGAGAUGUGGAGGAAUACCGAUGGCGAAGGCAGCCCCCUGGGCCAAUACUGACGCUCAUGCACGAAAGCGUGGGGAGCAAACAGGAUUAGAUACCCUGGUAGUCCACGCCCUAAACGAUGUCAACUAGUUGUUGGGGAUUCAUUUCCUUAGUAACGUAGCUAACGCGUGAAGUUGACCGCCUGGGGAGUACGGUCGCAAGAUUAAAACUCAAAGGAAUUAACGGGGUCAUAGCUGUUUCC